GAUGAACGCUGGCGGCGUGCCUAACACAUGCAAGUCGAACGAUUUACUUCGGUAAAGAGCGGCGGACGGGUGAGUAACGCGUGGGUAACCUGCCCUGUACACACGGAUAACAUACUGAAAGGUAUGCUAAUACGAGAUAAUAUGCUUUUAUCGCAUGGUAGAAGUAUCAAAGCUUUUGCGGUACAGGAUGGACCCGCGUCUGAUUAGCUAGUUGGUAAGGUAACGGCUUACCAAGGCGACGAUCAGUAGCCGACCUGAGAGGGUGAUCGGCCACAUUGGAACUGAGACACGGUCCAAACUCCUACGGGAGGCAGCAGUGGGGAAUAUUGCACAAUGGGCGAAAGCCUGAUGCAGCAACGCCGCGUGAGCGAUGAAGGCCUUCGGGUCGUAAAGCUCUGUCCUCAAGGAAGAUAAUGACGGUACUUGAGGAGGAAGCCCCGGCUAACUACGUGCCAGCCGCCGCUGUAA
rnacentral:rRNA from 1 species